UGUGAUUCAAGCUUCGGUAGGGGAUAGACUGCCCUGCUGGUGCUCUCUCCGUUACUUGGGAGGCGUGAUGCUGCCCGACUUGCCAGGGUGUUGACUCGAUAGCGAACGUGGUUGAACCUAAACUGGCCGCUUCCAGGUGUGCGAAAAAUGUGUUCUCUAUGCAGGCAGCUUCGCACCUCGUUAAUUAGCAAUCCCAACCCAACUCACCUGCGCCGGGAACUCUCACGGGACACUGCUGAAAAUACACACUAAACCAAAACAAAGAAAAAAACAACAACCCCUAGAGAAAAAAAAGUGAAACUAUGAAAAGACAAAAAGCAGGAAAAUCAAAAACAUACAGAUCGUAAUAAAAUGAUUAGAACGUUACCGGUGGAGCGAGAACCAA